GUAGGGGGCUAGCGUUAUCCGGAAUUACUGGGCGUAAAGGGUGCGUAGGUGGUUUCUUAAGUCAGAGGUGAAAGGCUACGGCUCAACCGUAGUAAGCCUUUGAAACUGGGAAACCUGAGUGCAGGAGAGGAGAGUGGAAUUCCUAGUGUAGCGGUGAAAUGCGUAGAUAUUAGGAGGAACACCAGUUGCGAAGGCAGCUCUCUGGACUGUAACUGACACUGAGGCACGAAAGCGUGGGGAGCAAACAGGAUUAGAUACCCUGGUAGUCCACGCCGUAAACGAUGAGUACUAACUGUCGGAGGUUACCCCCUUCGGUGGCGCAGCUAACGCAUUAAGUACUCCGCCUGGGAAGUACGCUCGCAAGAGUG
rnacentral:rRNA from 1 species